UCAAAAGUAUCAAUCUUUGGUGCUCAGCUUUCUUUACAGUCCAACUCUCACAUCCAUACAUGACUACUGGAAAAAUCAUAGCCUUCACUAGAUGGACCUUUGGUGGCAAAGUAAUGUCUGCUUUUUAAUAUGCUGUCUAGGUUGGUCACAGCUUUUCUUCCAAGGAGCAAGCACCUUUUAAUUGGCUGCAGUCAUCAUCUGCAGUGAUUUUGGAGCCCGCCAAAAUAAAGUCUGCCACUGUUCCCACUGUUUCUCCAUCUAUUUGCCAUGAAGUGAUGGGACUGGAUGCCAUGAUCUUAGUUUUCUGAAUGUUGACCUUUAGGCCAACUUUUUUACUCUCUUCUUUCACUUUCAUCAAGAGGCUCUUUAGUUCUUCUUCACUUUCUGCCAUAAGGGUGUGGGUUGCCAUUGCCUUCUCUGCAUGAUGUACACUACAUAUAAGUUAAAUAAGCAGGGUGACAAUAUACAGCCUUGACAUACUCCUUUCCCUAUUUGGAACCAGUCUGUUAUUCCAUGUCCAGUUCUAACUGUUGUUUCCUGACCUGCAUACACAUUUCUCAAGAGGCAGGUAAGGUGGUCUGGUAUUCCCAUCUCUUUCAGAAUUUCAUAGCUAUCACUUAUUUUACUAUAGCAUGUUACAUACACUUAGGAAGUUACCUCAGGCAGGCCUGCCUGAAUCUUGGGUGGCAUAAAAAAAUUUGAGCUUUGAUACACUCAACCUUACAACAAAUGGCUAGGAAUGUGCUGAAGUUAAGUAACACACCAGGAGAAUCACAAUUAUUUUCAACAGUUGACUGAAUUUGUAAAGAUUUGAACUCCAAGAAAGCUUGUACCUCUGUCCAGAAGGCUGCUUGGUUUGUGGUUUACAGAGCUAAGAGUUAAGAGACUCAUCUGUGUGUAUUAGCAUUGUUCUGUCAAUUACAGCACCAUCAGACUUGUGAUAAGCAUACAUUUUAUAGUUUAUGGUACUUUACCAUAGAAACCAACACUCUCACACAUUAACUAAUAUGGUUAACAAGGAAUUUGAUUUUUGUUUAAAAAAAGUACAGAGUUUAUUUUCAUUAAAAUAAAUAUUCACAUUCUGAGAAUAGGUUAUAUUUAUGGGUCUAAUUUCAUGACUUAUACAUCACCUAGAGAUAAUUCUAUACACUUGGUCAAGGUUUUCACUGGGGUAAGCACUAAGAAAAACGAGCCAACUAAGAGUGAGGUCUGGGGGGUUAUAUUCUUCCUGUUAAAAUUUAGUGUCCAUCUGUAAUUGUGGUAAAAAUGUUUAGAGAAAUGCAUGAUCUGCUGACAAAGUUGGAUAGCAUUUUUAUUUGCCUCUAGAACUUAACUUUUCAAGAUUAAUGAAGGCUCUUACCUCUUCAACUAACCUUUCUCAUAUUUCAUAUUUUAGCAAAAACCUAACAGUCUGCUGAGGAUGCGUCUGUGUGUUUCUUUCUGGUGAAGUUAGUUCCUUCUUUCAUAUUCUAGGUACAUCACUGUCCAAACUAUAGUAUAUACUCUUUUCAGUUCCUCAGUAGCUGAUCUAAUUUUUGAAAAUUCUUGCCCAUAUAAGACCGAUGUCAUUAGGUGUUCUCAAGUGCUCAGUCAUGUCCCACUUUUUGCGACCCCAUGGGCUGUAGCUGCCAGACUCCUCUAUCCUGGUAAAAAUACUGUAAUGGGUUGCCAUUUCUUUUUCCAGGGAUCUCCCCAACCCAGGAAUCAAACCUGGGCAUUGGUAGGUGCAUUCUUUACUACUGAGCCACGUGGGAAGCCACGUGUUCUUAGGGUAAAAUGUCUUUUCCCCUCUGCAACAAUGUGUGUGUUUCAUGUGCUUAGUAGCUUCAGUCGUGUCCAACUCUUUGUGAACCCAUGGACCAUCGCCCAUGGGGUUCUCCAGGUGAGAAUACUGAAGUGGGCUGCCAUUUCCUUCUCCAGGGGAUCUUCCCAACCCAGGGCUUGAAACUGCAUCUCUUAAAUCUCCUGCAUUGACAGGUAGAUUCUUUACCACUAGAGCCAUGGGGGGAAGCCCUAUGCACUGAUAGUACCUUCCUUUUAUUAAAAAGAUUGUCCUAUGGAUUAUCAUAUUAGUAAGUAUUGAUUUUGCUCAUCAUUCUAUUAAUCUGACCCCUCAGUUCCUUGUCUUUCUUAUUUCUAACAGUCUAUCUCCUAUAACUCCUAGUUACUUAAACUCUAGAAUUUAGUAGUGCAACUACUAGGAUGUUAGAACUAAUAAAUUUGUACAUCCCUUUUCAAAUAAAAUUUAUUUUCUUAACAACUUGUUUACACCCCUAAUUUUUUCCCUCCCCUACAUUGGCUUUUCAAGUCCAUCUCCUUUCUCUAAUUUCAUCUAGCUUUCUGUACUCUGUUACAUAUUUCUCUAACACUGAGGGUGACCAACCAUAACAGUUUACUCUGGACUGAGGGAUUUCUGUGGACUCAGGACAUGCAGUGCUAAAACCUGGAUAGUCCCAGCAAAAUCAGGGCAGUUGAUCAUGUUACUUCUAUUGCCCCUGUUUUAACUAUCAUUACCAGUCUGAUAAAACGAUAACUAGUAGAGAAAACCUCUCAGCUGGUUAGAUCAGCCUCACCAUAAGUACCUAGUUUUCCCUUUAAUGCUACCUAAGAAUCUAAUAUUGUUUAUGUCAACAACACUUUUCCUGGUUUGCUAUAGUAAAUAAACUUUCAUCAUUAUCCUUACACUUUAGUCCUCUUAACUACUACACUUCUCUCCCUCUACUCCUCUGAAAAAUAGAAACUAUCUAACAGAUUCAUUAAGCUUUUGCCAACAGACCUAAAUUUCCACCCAUCCCAUCUUUAUCAUCUUUGACUUAGAAUGGAAGAGUAAUCACUUCUUAUCCAAAGCUAAUCCCUUCAUUUGCAGUCUGGGUUAGCUCCUCAUGCCUCUCUCAACCAUACCUCCAGUUGGACAUCAAAUCUGAUUUAUUCUUGCUUCAGAGUAGUCCAGAAACCAUUCCAGUUUUAUCUAUCUCUAGUGCCAACACUCAUAUGUUACCUUGACUGUUAUGAUAGCUUCAAAGCCAGUCAUCAGUCUCCAGUAUAUCUCCUUUCCAAUUAAUUUAUGACAUCAAACUCAAGUGAUCUAUGAAAAAUGCAAACUGAUCAUAUCCUUCUUGAAUCAGAAUGAUUUGAAGACUUUUCAUUAUGCUUAACAUUAAACUUUGAAAUGGUAACAUAGCCUUCAGAAGCCAAGAUUCCCUGUCCAGUUUGAUUUCUUCUACUCUUAUUCUGUGCUCUACACAUACCUAGCUUCACCUGUAUUUCCUUGCAGAAACCUGCUGAUAUUUCACUUAGAGAUUUUCUUUUCCAUAAGUAGUUUCUAUGUUUCCAGUCCCUCUGCAGAAACUAAUUGUUACUCAUUCUUCAAAAUGUACAUUCUUCAAAAGGUAAUAUAUUACCUUUUAGGAAUCAUUUCACGGAGUCUUGGACUGGUGAAGAAUCCGUAUUAUUUGCUCUCAUAGCACCCUGCACUUCCCCUCAAAGCAUCUGUCACAGACUUUUGUUGUUGUUGUUGGCCAUACCAUGUGGCAUGCAGGAUUUUAGUUCCCUGACCCUGGGUUGAAUCUGUACUUAACCACUGGACCACUAGGGAUGUUCUGUCAGGCUUAAUGUCUGUAUUCUUUACUUGACCAUGAAUUGCCCAAGAAACCUUGUUUUUCCUUUUUGCAGUUUUAUCCAAGGCAGCUAGCUCAGUGCUUGGGACAUAGUGAAUG
ensembl:lncRNA